CAAAUAUUCUCCUUGAUGAGAAUUGGCAUGCAAAAAUAACAGAUCUUGGGAUGGCGAAGUGUUUGAGUAGCGACGGUUUACAAAGCGGUUCAAGCUCUCCCACC